GACAGAGGGUGCAAACGUUGUUCGGAAUUACUGGGCGUAAAGCGCGUGUAGGCGGCUAAGUAAGUCGGGCGUGAAAUCCCUGAGCUCAACUCAGGAACUGCACUCGAAACUGCUUAUCUUGAGUGCCGGAGAGGAAAGCGGAAUACCUGGUGUAGAGGUGAAAUUCGUAGAUAUCAGGUGGAACACCAGUGGCGAAGGCGGCUUUCUGGACGGUAACUGACGCUGAGACGCGAAAGCGUGGGGAGCAAACAGG
rnacentral:rRNA from 1 species